rnacentral:snRNA from 1 species
AUCGCUUCUCAGCCUUUUGGCUAAGAUCAAGUGUAGUAUCUGUUCUUACCAGUUCAAAAAGAAUAUAUUGAACAGUA